rnacentral:rRNA from 1 species
GACGAACCGUGCGAACGUUGUUCGGAAUCACUGGGCUUAAAGGGCGCGUAGGCGGCUUCCCAAGUCCGGGGUGAAAUCUUUCGGCUUAACCGGAAAAGUGCCUUGGAUACUGGGAGGCUCGAGGGGGGUAGGGGCAAGCGGAACUUCCGGUGGAGCGGUGAAAUGCGUUGAUAUCGGAAGGAACGCCGGCGGCGAAAGCGGCUUGCUGGACCCCAUCUGACGCUGAUGCGCGAAAGCCAGGGGAGCGAACGAG